GACGAACGCUGGCGGCGUGCUUAACACAUGCAAGUCGAACGGAAAGGCCCUGCUUUUGUGGGGUGCUCGAGUGGCGAACGGGUGAGUAACACGUGAGUAACCUGCCCUUGACUUUGGGAUAACUUCAGGAAACUGGGGCUAAUGCCGGAUAGGAGCUCCUGCUGCAUGGUGGGGGUUGGAAAGUUUCGGCGGUUGGGGAUGGACUCGCGGCUUAUCAGCUUGUUGGUGGGGUAGUGGCUUACCAAGGCUUUGACGGGUAGCCGGCCUGAGAGGUUGACCGGGCUCAUUGGGACUGAGAUACGGCCCAGACUCGUACGGGGGGCAGAAGUGGGGAAUAUUGCACAAUGGGCGGAAGCCUGAUGCAGCAACGCCGCGUGCGGGAUGACGGCCUUCGGGUUGUAAACCGCUUUCGCCUGUGACGAAGCGUGAGUGACGGUAAUGGGUAAAGAAGCACCGGCUAACUACGUG
rnacentral:rRNA from 1 species